GGUCGCGUAGCUCAGUUGGAUAGAGCAAUAGCCUUCUAAGCUAUGGGUCGAAGGUUCGAAUCCUUCCGCGAUCA
rnacentral:tRNA from 1 species